ACCUGGGUGGCUCAGUUGGUUAAGCGUCUGACUUCAGCUCAGAUCAUGAGCUCACAUUUGUGAGUUCAAGCCCCACGUCAGGCU
rnacentral:tRNA from 1 species